UUCAAAAAAAAAUCUUUUAUAAACAUCAAUUUGAACAAUUUUUCAUUUCUUUUCAGGUAAGCGUUAAUAUGAAUUUAGCUAGGAGGAAAAAAAAUUAUGAAAUGAAUCGUAAAUAUUAAAAAAAAAGAAGAUGAUUGCAGUUUACUAUGUGUACUGUCGAAAAUCCUUGUGACCUUUAUUUUUGCGUCUUGAGCUGCAUCGAUAUUUUCUUUUUUCUUAACUGGAUUUAACAACAAUAUCAAAAGAGAGCGAAAUGGGAGAUACAGAGAUAGAGAUAGAGAGGAAAUUUUUAAUUCAUGUUUUAAGUACGUCUACUUUUGAAGAAUAGUCGAACCUCCUCUCGACGAAACGGAUGCAGUGUCGGCCAAUCUGGAAUCAGUUCGGCUAAAGAUGGUCUACGUGAUGAUGGCGGCUAAUAUUUCAAUUUUUUUUUUUAUUUUAAUUUUUUAUGUUUAUGUGGAAUGUGUAGUAUACAGGUAUUUUUUGUGGAAAAAAAAAUCGUAAAACUCAUGUUAUUUAUGUGACUGGACAUGAUUUGUUUAAAAAAAAAUAAAAUAAAAUUAAAAAGAACAGUAGACAUGAAGGAAGGAUUUUUACCUAAUUGAAAUACAAAAAAAUUCUCAGAAGGGAUAUCAAUUACAAAAAAUACAAAGUCACGUCUUCUGAAUUUGUCUCUUCUUUUGUAAAUUUUAUUUGUGUUUAACACAAAAAUAUUUUGGCUAAGAAAAAAAAAAAUUACCUAACCCAUAGAAGAAAUUUGCAAAAUAAUCAAAAUUCAAAAAAAAAGCGACACUAUCAAAAUAUCUUCCUCAAAAAAAUAUCAAUGUAUAUUUUAAAAUUCACGCAUGAAAAAUGAUAUUUGUUUAAUAGUUCUCACUCGUUAAAGCAAUAUAAUUGUAUUAUGAAUUUUCAAAAAAUAAAAUAUCUUAUGGUGUUAAAAAAAAAACUGUAUAUA